rnacentral:rRNA from 1 species
GAUAUUGGUCAAUGGGGGGAACCCUGAACCAGCGACACCGCCUGAGGGAAGAAGGUCUCCGGUCGGUACACCCCUGUUGUCGGGGAAGAUAAUGCCGGUACCCGCGGAGGAAGCCACGCCCAACCACGUCCCAGCAGCCGCGGUAAUACGUAGGUGGCAAGCGUUGUCCGGAAUUACUGGGUGUAAAGGGAGCGUUGGCGGGGAGGCAAGUUGAAUGUUAAAUCUAUCGGCUCAACCGAUAGCCGCGUUCAAAACUGUCUUUCUUGAGUGAAGUAGAGGCAAGCAGAAUUCCUAGUGUAGCGGUGAAAUGCGUAGAGAUUAGGAGGAAUACCAGUGGCGAAGGCGGCUUGCUGGGCUUUUACUGACGCUGAGGCUCGAAAGUGUGGGGAGCAAACA